rnacentral:lncRNA from 1 species
AGCAAGUGUGGCCGUUGAACUUCACACGUGAAGUAAACCUGGUCAGAUAUCAUGUAGAAAUAUGAUAACUAAUAUUGAUUUGUGUAAUGUACUAAUAUAUAUAUAUAUAUAUAUAUAUAGAACCAUAUCAAUCACUAUUUAGAUACUAAUCCUACACAUAACUACAAUUAAAAAUUACAUUCCUAUAAUACAUACAAUAACCAGCUCUUAUUAGUGCUCGGUCCUGUUUCAAUAUCACUCAACCACAACUAUUGAACCCACUUUGAAUAUAUUUUGAUAAGGUGUCAUAUUUUAUUCAAGGCGGACCCAUUUAUCCAUUAGUAGAUAGUUAUUCACUCACCACUAAAGGCUAUCGCCAAUCUUGAUGCGGAUGCUUCUGCCAAUCUUGAUACUAGAAAGCUUUAACCAAUUGAAUGGAUGAGAGAGAGGGAGAUGGAGCGAUUUGAGAGUGAAAAUUGUUCAUUUGAUUGAUCGACGAAAACCCAAUUUUAGGAAGGAUUGCGUUGGAUCAGACUUAUAUAUUAUGUUUGGUUGGGGAUUGUAGAGUCUGAAGGGGGCGUCUACUCCAAAUUGAAGUGUUUUCUGAAGCAGGGGACAUGAUUCAAAAGGAAUAUAAAGGCUAAUUUUGUUUCUUUGAAAACUUUGAGUUUUAACAAUAAGGACAGAUAAAGGGUAAAGUGAAUAGUAUCAGGUUUGACUUUUUAUUAUAAAAAUGUGGUUUUUCGUUAAAGUAAACAGUACCGCGAACUUUUCGUUAAAACUCCCUACAAUUUUAGGGUCAUUUUAUCCUUUUAAAUCUCGUUCGUUCUCCUAACAAUUUAUGACUUUGCCACCGCUCUUCAUCUCAAUCAAAACCCUCCACCCACCUCAAUUAUCAGUGAACAUGAACGAUGACUUCGUCGACCAUUUCCUUGUUAUUGCCAUAGACUUACCAUUCCCUCCCCUUAUAACAAAAAAAAGUAAGUGAAGAGAUAUACAUAUACGAUUAUUGAUUUUUCUUUUUUAUUUUGUUAUGGAGUGAUAUAUACUGAUACUAUUGAAGAUUGAUUAUUAUUAUUAUUUUUUUUUUAUAAAUGAAGAUUGAGCAUCAAUAAGAAGAUUUCAAUUCAAUAUUCUAGUAAGUAGAGUGUUGGCUUUUUACUUAAUUUCUGUUCAAAAUUCCAUGAUUCAUAAAUUAAUGAAAUAAUUUCAAACUCUCCCACUCUUCUUAAUAAUAAUAAUUUUUCUAAAAAAAUCAAUAAGAUGCUUGUGAAUAUACUUUUUUCGCACCCAUUAUCUUUUUGACUUUGAUCGAUGAUAUAUUUCUUCACCACAUGAAUCUUGAUCUCUAAUGUUAUCAGCCAAGUGUACAGGUUGUCUCUGUCUGUCAAUUUUGUGCUUAAUCUGAACAGUAAACUUGUAUUCUGAUGUUCAAUCAUUUUUUUUUUUUUAGAUUCAUACCUAUCUAAUGAAACAUUC